UCUAUCUAAAGACACACACAAGGAUGUCAUUCAUGGUGGAGGUCUGCACUGCUGUGUUGUGUGUGUGUGGCACAUGAAGAGGUUGUGUGUUUCAUGCAACGACCAUCUGUCUCUCCAAACAGAAUCAGAGGCCACACUAUUAAGAUGGGUUACUGACAACUACUCCUAGAUUGCCAGAAGAAACUCGAAACCUUUUACGUGACAGUCUGGAAAGAAGGAGUGGUUGCCGAGGAAAGGCCAAGGGGUGGGACUGGGAUCCAUUUCAAAUCUGUUUUUAGAUGUUUGGAUUUUAAAAAUGCAAUAAAAGCUAAAGGGUUAAGCAUGAUAAUUAAAACAUGUUGAUAUUUUGAAAGUAUUUUACUGCAAAAAUGUUAAAUUAGAGAAAUAUGAUCCAAAACUUGAACAGUAAGAAUGGUUCUUGUUUCGCCUUUACUAUUGUAGAUUUUAGUUUAGUUCAUGUUGGCUUCAACGGUUUGCAGCUCUCGUGCAACAGCAGCACAAAGGAUGGAAGGACUAAAAACAAACGAUCGGGUUACACGGCAACCUCAGCUGUCCUCUGUUACUCAGUUUCCCUCAUGUUUAUGCAAUCAUGACACACAAACACAAAAACAACAUUCACUAAAUAUUUGACAUAAAGCCUACGUGGGGCACACUAAAGAAUUUAGACACAUUUAAAGCUUAUUUUUAUUAAAAAAUGAGGGCACAUCCAACAUUUUCAGUGAGAAAGAUUGUUAGAUCCUGUGAAACAUCAAGAAAGCAGCCGGUGGCGGUCCCGGCAUACUCAGACUCUUCUGGUGUCACUUACUGUCAAGUGUCUUCCAGUUAAAUGCUAAAGUUCACAGCAGAAGAGUUAAAGAAAUGCUGCUAUUGUCUGGAAAAACUUCUCAGCACUAAAGAUAACAUCGAAGCAGAUUUGAAAAAGUAUCUAAAUAACAUAAAAUGGAAAAAAAAAACAUUUUGAUUACAUGUAUAUUUAGCAGGGCCGGGAAUCGAUUAAAAAAAAUUAACUAAUUAAUUGCAAACCUGGAAAAAAAUAAUUGCAAUUAUUUGUGGACCUCUUUUAUCCCAAAAUAAUCACAAAAUGAAGUUUACACACAAAACUGUAGAUUCAGAACAUGUAUUUUUAAUUAAGGCUGUUAAUUGAUUAAAAGAAAAACAUUAAUCACACGUUUGUGUUGUGAUCAAACACUAUUAAUUAUAACGUUUUUCUGGGUAAAUUUGAUGACGAUGAUGCAGCUUUUGAAUGAAAAGAGGCCAGGGAGAAAAUUGUUCCUUCAUCGUUAUCGUCUGUCAUGUUUAAAUUUAUGAAGUGUUAACUCAAAUAUUGCAAAAGUGUCAUUUGUGCUCACAAAAACAAGUCAACAGUAAGAUGAGCAGAACCUACAGACCUGAAAAAAACAAACAAAAAUGAAGAAGUUCCGGUCACUGCUCUGCAUCACUGCUCUGUAUCACUGCUCUGUAUCACUGCUCUGUAUCACUGCUCUGUAUCACUGCUCCGUAUCACUGCUCCGUAUCACUGCUCUGUAUCACUGCUCUGUAUCACCGUAUCACUGCUCUGUAUCACUGCUCUGUAUCACUGCACAGGCUACUUUAAUAAUGCGACUAACAAUGCGCCGUGACAAUAGUCCGCUUUUUGUGAAAAAAGGAUCUAAAUGAAAAAAAUAACUAGAUUAAAGUAUUAAAGCCGAUGGAAUGUUUGUUUGUUUUGUAAAAAAAAAAAAAAAAGUGGUAUAAGUGAGAAAAAAACCAGACAGUGUUUUAACGCACGCUGUGGAUGAACGCACCACCGAGGCACAGCGGAGGACUGCUGGUCCGUGAGGUGCGAUUAUUUUGCGUUAAUAAAUAUUAACGUUAAUCAUUUAAGGAAUAAUACCCGAUGAAGUGUGCAUUAUGAGAAACAACACACGACAUGAAGGCCUGAACCGUCUGGGGCGAAGCGGAGGUUCAGCAAAGUAGCAACUACUGAGGAAUUCAGGCCCAUGACCUGUAGAGCUGAGAGUCUGGACCUGCUCACCUCCAACUGACGUGAGGAAUCAGCGUUUGACUCUCUGCAGGCAGGAGUUUUGCUAAAGAAGUCAUUAAACUCUGACGUCAAGUGGGCAGAAAUCCAAGCAAGGAUGCCCAGAUCUUCCUCCUCCUCCUCCUCCAGGAGGUCACUCACCCUUUUACUGCGCCUCCUGCAGAUGUCCUGCUGGAGACGCUUCAGUAGCGUUUGUCAUGUGCAGCCGACCGCGGAGGAAAUAGUGGCGCCCUGACGGCUUCAUCUUAACAUGAUUUCUCCAGAGGAAUCAGGGACUGACGGGGGACGUUUCGUCUUCAAGCAGAUUCGAUUUAGGAAAGUAAAGACAGAUUCGAUGACUUAAGGGCCUCAUUUAUAAGACGCAGCACUUCAAUACAUCAGAUGUUAACCUUUUCACCGCCUGUCUUCAGUCCCACCGGCAUUCCUCACUUGAACAUUCCUGGCUGACCGUCCUGCAUCUUCCAGGCUCCUUCAUUCCCCUCUGGACUGUGUGCUGACUUCAGCCUCAUCGGAGCUUUGGGACAGCGUUCCCACUGUCUGCAGAACAGACCAUCUGUUACGGCUGCGAGCCCUGACCUACUCUGAAAGUACACAAUUACACACAAUAACCUCCGACAACAACAGCUACUUUCCUGACCUCAUCUCCUCCCGGUGAUUCUCUGGGGAGCGCAUGUCAGGGGAGCUCAUUUCAACUGUUUGGUUAUAAAAAAUAAAAUAAAAGUUCUUUGUUUUCAGUAUCAAAUUAAAACAAAGAAUUACUGCGUGUACUUUAAUACGUGACGUCUGUAAGAUGAAUAAGGUGUCUUGUAGAGACAGUUUUAGACACUCAACUUCCAUUCUUUGAAACCUUUUUAAUAACAUUAAAUGCAAAUAAACUAUUUAAUGAAAACAAAUUGCAAUACAAUACUUUAUCUUUUAGACAAUCACAGUUAAGAAAUUAUACCCAGAGCUCUUAAAGUUCUGCUGUCUGCGUAUCUUUGACUUAAUGACAGCAGCCUGAGGGCCACAUGUGGUCCACGAGCCAGACUUUGGACAUGCCUCAGUCACAUGUACUGGUACUGGGGGGCUGACCGGGUUUCGGUUUGUCCCGGUCUGUGGAAGAUCGUAAAGAGGUGCGGCGGGAUCUAAAGUAGAUCCCGCCAAAAAGAAUUAAUGCAAAUGAAUUACAACUCGCGAAGUUAGCCGUUAGCAUAGCAUUAGCCAUCCUAUCAGAAAUC